rnacentral:tRNA from 1 species
GGAGCGGUAGUGCAGGCGGUGGUUUCAUCGUCGUGUCACGCCGGGGGUCGCGGGUUCGAGCCCGGUCCGCUCCGCCA